GGUAUAGCUUAAGGACAAGAGGACUGUGGUCCAAACCUAUUGCUGGAAGGGCAUGGACUUCCGCAUCAUGAAAGGGCUAGCCACCAGAGCCCAAUCUAUUCCUUCUGCAAGCAACUUCACUGGAGUCUCCAUCAUACUCGAGUCAUCUAUGAGAAUUGGAGAUGGUGCAGGGACUUCCAUAAUCUCCUGCUCCUUGGAAUUUUCUACUCGCUUAUUGCUGCAAGCUUCUAGUCUCAUUUCUGGGCCUUUCUCUCGUGCUAUUAUAUCCUGCUCCCUAGCUGGAGAUGAUACUGCGGG